AUGGUGUACGAUGCUGAGGCAGUCCUCCCAUGUGAUCUUAUACAUGACGCACCUAGAGUACACACAUACGAGGAGAAGGAAGCCGAGCUAGAUCGGCAGGACGACCUGGACGCCCUGGAGGGAGAACGCGACAUUGCUCUAGCAUGCUCCGUGUUUUAUCAACAGCAAGCACGGUGUUACCAGAACCGGGAGGUUCGGGUGAAGGCAUACAACAUGGGAGAGCUCGUCCUCCGCCUCCCCGAGAAACAGAAACACAAGCUUUCACCCAAAUGGGAGGGCCCCUUCAUUAUAGAUGAAGUACUCGCAUGA
rnacentral:rRNA from 1 species